AAGAGACGUUCUGUAUUGCAGUCAUGUGAAACUAUUGGCACUUAGUGGGCUAAACUAGUUGUCUUCUGCUUAACCUUCCUCAGGAAAUAAGGCUCCUUUAACCAGUGCCUUACAGUACUUCCACCUAUGGCACUCUUAACCACAAGGCAGAGCAUGCUAAUAGUCCCAUAGCGCAAGAAGAGAGUGGUCAGAACAUGAUGUGUGAGAAGAGUUGUAGUCCUAUAAAGUUAUUUCCACUAUUAGGAUUUUUCCAGAUUCUGGUAAAUGAAGUGGGAUAGUUAGAAGAAAGCUCAACAAGACCAAUGGUGUCUGCACCGAUGAUUCCUGGAUUGGGAAUAUCGCACAUUAAUUUGACUUCAGCUUCUGUUCUAUGUAGCUGGGACUUGAGUUGGGCUGCUUUGCACUGAUUUGAGUAAUUAGAUGAGCGCUCAGGUCUUCAGAUACAGGAAAACUCCAAGCGUACGGAUAAGGAAAGUAUGGACUGCAAAUUGCCCCUGGAAUGAAAACUUCCCUAAUGGAGUUUCUCUGAAUGUCCGCACAAUGUCUUGCGCUUGAGACUCUCAUUGAAACAAGGAAAGAAUCCUCCCUGAAUUAGGAAAUCAGGAUCUGCCCUUUUACAUUCAGUGUUCUGAGCAGUUCCUUGUCCGGAAUGGGCCGUGGGGCUUCACACAGCUUCCCCAGACCAGCAGCCCACGCCGCACUGCAGUCAGUACUGUUAAUAUUGGCACUGUACCUUAUCAGCAGGCAAACACAUUUCUUAAGUUCUUAUCAGAGAAAUAAGAAUGGGUGAAAAAGAACAAAAUGGAGCAAAGUGCCACGGGUGUUCACACUGAGCUCUGAAAGCAGAGAGCAGCGUGACAUGAAGGGAGCAACGCGUACCUGCAAAGAGAUCACACUGCCUCCAGCAGAGCUGUUCUUUGCCUAAAUCACACUUGAAACGUGGCUCUUCUGUGACCGAGGCACUUCUCACAUCUGAAAUACGCUGUAGAAGGUAAAGCAAGGGAUAAACUCAGGCACUGCUCUGGGAGAGAAGCAGCAGCAGCAACUGCAGCAGCCCUUGAACAGUCAAUGCAAGGAAAAAUCAUUGGAUCCGUUUUCCUUGUUGCAAUGCACAAAGUUAAAAGUCUGUUCUGAGUGGAUGUGUCUUGGGCAGGCAAGGACGCUGCCUUGGGGUACGGCAGAACCAGCCCCCUGAUGUGUGCACGAUAGGGUGCACUUGUGGCCAUCGGGGAAGGCAAGAGGAGCUGCUGGGGGGGCCCCAUCAGCCUCCAGGGAGACACAGUCAUCAUUCUUAUGGGCCCAGCUGCUGGAUGGGUGAGGGAAAGGACUGUCCUACUCUGUGCUGUGCAGCCUCAUCUCAAGCACCGUGUGCAGGGUUGGGUGCAUCAACAUAAGAAGGGCAGAGAACUAUUCCUAUUCAAUACCCUUGCCAGAGUUCAAGGAGCUCGGGCAGCGGUCUCAGACGUAGGGUUUGGAUUUUGUACGUGGAGCCAGGAGUUGGACCCAACUCUCCUUGCAGGUCCCGUGCCCCGCGCCACCGCGCACAGCUGGGCAGCGCAGGAGCCGAGCAGCCCGAGGCCGGGGCCAGCCCCUCUCUGCUGCCCCACGGCGCCCCUUCCCGGGCUCCCCUUACAGCCAGCGUUUGACUUCUUCAUUUUCUCGGCCGCAAAAGCGGUGACAAAUUGCUCAGGCUUCGUUUCUCUGCUGCGCCCACGGCGUGAUUUAUUGUGGCCGCGUUAUCGUGAAAUCAGGCUCCAUUCACAAUGUUUUUCUGGGAGAACUCGAUCCGCUCGCUGUUUAUUUGCCCCGUCCCUCCUCAUUAGCGUCACCGAUCCGCGAUGGCCCCGCUCGGUUCCAAACCGGCCCCGCUCGCACCUCGUCCCGCCCGCGGCUCGGAGGGGACAGCGCGGACGGACGAACGGCCGUCGGACAAACCGGAGGGAGACGCAGCGAUGCGGCGGGGAACAAACUCGCUGCAAACACCGUCUGACCCCGGUCCCGCCGCUCCAACCCACGCCGCGGCGCAGCCCAACCGCAGCCGCCGGGCCGGGCCUUCCCCCCGCGGCGGGGGGCGGUCGCUGGCCGCGGGCGGUGGCGGGGCCAGGUGCGUCCAGCCCCGCGCCGGGUUAUAAAGGGGCCGGGCCGGGCGGGCGGCUGGUGCGGCCGAACGGUGAAUUGCUGCUGCUUCUCCUCAGGCCCAGCACUUCGUCCCCUGCAGAUGUGAAGCUCCAGUCUGCGAGGGACACAUGAGGAGAUGAGGUGCUUGGGUGCCUUUGCUGCUGGCCCGAGGCAGCACAGAGAUCUGCAGGGCAGGGAAGCCGGGAGCUGCCCAGAAGCUCUGCUUGGAUAAGAGCGACUGCCUCAGGCCCCUCCGCACUGGGGAAGCCCUCCA